CCUACGGGGGGCAGCAGUGGGGGAUAUUGCACAAUGGGGGGAACCCUGAUGCAGCGACGCCGCGUGGGUGAAGAAGCGCCUCGGCGCGUACAGCCCUGUCAGCAGGGAAGAAAAUGACGGUACCUGAAGAAGAAGCCCCGGCUAACUACGUGCCAGCAGCCGCGGUAAUACGUAGGUGGCAAGCGUUGUCCGGAUUUACUGGGUGUAAAGGGCGUGCAGCCGGGAAGACAAGUCAGAUGUGAAAUCCCGCGGCUCAACCGCGGAACUGCAUUUGAAACUGUUUUUCUUGAGUACCGGAGAGGUCAUCGGAAUUCCGUGUGUAGCGGUGAAAUGCUUAGAUAUCACGAAGAACUCCGAUUGCGAAGGCCGUUCACUGGACUGCAACUGACACUGAGGCUCGAAAGUGUGGGUAUCAAACAGGAGUAGAUACCCCUGUAGUC
rnacentral:rRNA from 1 species